rnacentral:rRNA from 1 species
AUUGAACGCUGGCGGCAUGCCUUACACAUGCAAGUCGAACGGUAGCAGGCCGCAAGGUGCUGACGAGUGGCGAACGGGUGAGUAAUGCAUCGGAACGUGCCCAGUCGUGAGGGGUAACGCGGCGAAAGCUGCGCUAAUACCGCAUACGAUCCAUGGAUGAGAGCGGGGGACCGUAAGGCCUCGCGCGAUUGGAGCGGCCG